CUCCCUUUGACUGAGCGGUCAUCGCUUGACGGAAGAGCUUUAUCAGGUUGUCCUCCGAUUGUUGUAAGUGAUCAAUCUAGUCAUUCUGCAUCUUGGACUUGCCAUGUUCAACACACUGCUGCUGCACCCCAAAUGCUCCACAGCAUUGAGCGGCUUUGGCUUUAUUUGUCAAGAUCAUCUGAAAAGAGUGCAUCUGUGCCAUG